CUGAAGGCCCUCACAAACUACUGGACCACCCAUCCACCACGUUUCUUGAUUUCCUUGAUGGUUCUGUGACAACGUGGAGGCCGUCAACGUGGAGGUUCUGCGAGCACUUCACCUGGGGACGGUAGCUGGAGCAUUGUCCUGCCCGGCAGAUAGGGAACCAUUCUCCACGUGGUGGGAGGUGGGCGACAGGUGUCACGACGCUCUCAGGUAGACUGAGUAUUGACCACAUGCCAUCCAAGGACAAACAAGAUUCUGAAGGGAGCAAAAAAAAAAAAAAAAAAAAAAAACCAAGAAGAAGUAAUUCAUCUGGCUGUCCCAUAUGUUAAUUGUUCUCUUUCUGUUGGAGGAGAGGAUGGAGACUAGCACAAGGCUUCUAAGACGUGAGAAAAGGGUUUUUCCAUCUGAUCUAGAUGUUGUUUAACAGGAAUUGUCAGUGCCACCACUUGGGAAUGAGGAUGUGUGGUAUCUGUUGGCAGCAUCAGAGGGAAAGUAGCUUUCAUUAUGCGAAAAACUGCUCUGUGUGAGCAGUCAGCCUUGCAGCUUUUUAUUCUAGUUAGCCCUGCUCGUUGCGUUGGCAAUCUUUCACAUUUGUUGGGCCAAUCUCCUGGGGACGAUGACAUGCUCAAGUCUGGGGAUCAAGACAUAGGUAGUAGGAAUUGAUCCUAGGAGCUCAUUUGUACUGUCUCAGAGAAAACAUUAUGUUAGAACUUCUAAAAACAUCAAUAGCAACGUUUCGGUAACCAGUUGUAGUGUAAUAAGAAAUGUAUGUGCUCUUUGUCCUUGGUUCCUGGAACAGGGUUUAUAAAACCCCUGGAAAUCCCUGACUGAUAGUCGUGUCCUUUGUUAUGCAGAUGAUCUCUCCUUUUGAUCACUCCUGAGUUUAUGUUAAUGAGAUGACAGAGCAGGGCCCCUGGAGGGGGUGGGUUGGCAGAAAGAUGAGUGGAUGUAGGGUUGCACCUUUCAGCCUCAACCGCUGACCUCUGGGGACUGGCGGGAGUGGUGGGAGAUUGAACCCUCUAAAAAAAUUCUCAAACAACACAACGUGAUGAACUUCUAGGUUGGUGAACACGGAGGUGCUGGAGCGGGGGUAAAUCUGGAGGAGACACGGAAGCUCCAUACUUCACUACUUUUCCCUCUGAAUCUCUCAUUGGGCUGUUCAUGAGUUGUAUGCUUUACAAUAAACUGAUGAUAGGCCUAAGUAAAGUGUCUGAGUUCAGCGAGCUAUUCUAAGAAAUUGUCCAAGUUUCCCAAGAAAGGGGUCAUGGGAACCCCCGAUUUGUAGCUGGUUGAUCAGAAGUACAGAUAACAACCUGGGAGUUGGAAUUGGCAUAUGAAUUGGGGACCGUCUUGUGGGAUCGAGGCCUUCUCCUACAGGGUCUACUAACUUCUUGUGUUUAGUGUCAGAAUCGAAUUGUAGGACACCCAGUUGGACAAAGAAUCAGAGAAUUGGUUGUUGGUAUUAGAUAACACUCUGGAUUGAGUUUUUGGUUUUGGUUUUAGUUUUUUGUUUGUUUAUUUGUCUUGUUUUCUGUUUUUUAGAAUAUUUGCCACAUGCCGGAACACAGGACCCUGCCACUCACACCAGCAGUAUCAGUCUCAAAUGGGAGCUUGACAGAAAACCCAAAUCUCAGCCCCACCCCAGAUUUACUGCUUUAAAUUCAGCCUUUUACCAAGAACCUCAGAUCAGAAUGGUGAGCGUAUCUAUUCUGCAGCCACGUUGAACGUCUUUGGUUUUGCAAGAAGCAGAUUUCUUACAGUGAUGGUAAGAGACUGUUGACAUAGAUCCCCAGAAGGCAAGAGCAAAACGUCCCUCUCCUCUUCCUCUCCUCUUCGGGUACAGCAUGGGAGAAAAGGU